CCAUCUCCCGUGGACCCCGCACCCCUUGCAAUAUCCCCUGCAGAUCCUGCACCCAUCACAACGUCCCCCGUUGAUCCCGUGCCUAUUGCACCAUCCCCUAUGGACCCUGAACCCAUCGUUCUGCCUCCUGCAGAUCCUGCACCCACCACCAAGUCCACAGCGGAUUUUUUUUUUUUUUUUUUGCUUUUGCAAGGGAAACGGGGCAGGUGAAGGAAACCAGCUGCACAUUUUCAUGUCCUGGCUCCGCCACUUGGGCCAGAAACUCCAAUUCUCGGGAACUCCAAGAGCAGUUUUGCAACCUGACCUCCUCGGGCCGUGCCAAGACCCAGCAGCCCCUACCCCAUCCCCUUCCACGAGAUUCUGCUGAAUCGGCUGAAAUCGGCCUGUUUCAGAGCCAGUUCCUUCUCCUGCUUCUCCUGUGAAGCUCUGCCAGGAGAUUCUCAGGAAAAUACAGAUAAGCCCCAUCUGGUUAUAAAAAGGGAGAUUUUGGGACCAUCCCUGCGUGGUUUUUUCAUCCAUCUUCAUACAUCCAUGGGCUUCGGGGAGAGGAAAGAGAGACGCUGAGGCAGAAAGGAGCCGGCGGCGAUGGCGACGAGCAGGACGCGGUGGCUCCCAAUCUGCCUGGCGCUCUUCUGUGGUCUUUCCACCGCAUCUUUCCGUGGCAAGGAAUUCUUCACCGUCUUCCUGCAGAAUUACGAUGAAUUCAGCCACCCCGACAUCCACCUCCUCCUUACGGCUUACUUCAACUCCACCAAGGUGACGGUGAGAGCGCACGGCGGCACCUUCGCCAACAGCGUCAUCCUUGGCA